rnacentral:rRNA from 1 species
UACGGAGGAUCCGAGCGUUAUCCGGAUUUAUUGGGUUUAAAGGGUGCGUAGGCGGACUCUUAAGUCGGUGGUGAAAUCCUGGAGCUCAACUCCAGAACUGCCUUCGAUACUGAGAGUCUCGAGUCCGGGAGAGGUGAGUGGAACUGCGAGUGUAGAGGUGAAAUUCGUAGAUAUUCGCAAGAACACCAGUGGCGAAGGCGGCUCACUGGCCCGGUACUGACGCUGAGGUGCGAAAGCGUGGGGAGCAAACAGG